rnacentral:tRNA from 1 species
AAAGUUUUAUAGUCUAAGAAAGAUUUAAAAUUGCAAAUUUUAAGUUAUAAGGUUAAUUAUUAAGACUU